AUUGAACGCUGGCGGCAGGCCUAACACAUGCAAGUCGAGCGAGCGGCGGACGGGUGAGUAAUGUAUGGGGACUUCCCGAUAGAGGGGGAUAACCACUGGAAACGGUGGCUAAUAACGCAUACUGCUGGAUAACCCAGAUGGGAUUAGCUAGUAGGUAAGGUAAUGGCGUACCUAGGCGACGAUCCCUAGCUGGUCUGAGAGGAUGAUCAGCCACACUGGUACUGAGACACGGCCCAGACUCCUACGGAGGCAACAGUGGGGAAUAUUGCACAAUGGGCGCAAGCCUGACGCAGCCAUGCCGCGUGUAUGAUGAAGGCCUUAGGGUUGUAAAGUACUUUCAGUCGGGAGGCGUUACCGACAGAAGAAGCACCGGCUAACUCCGUGCCAGCCGCCGCGGUAAUAC
rnacentral:rRNA from 1 species